GAGUUUGAUCCUGGCUCAGGAUGAACGCUAGCGAUAGGCCUAACACAUGCAAGUCGAGGGGCAGCGGGGUAGCAAUACCGCCGGCGACCGGCGCACGGGUGAGUAACACGUAUGCAACCUACCCAUAACCGGGGGAUAGCCCGUCGAAAGACGGAUUAAUACCGCAUAACACAGGGGCUCCACAUGGAGAUAUUUGUUAAAGAUUUAUUGGUUAUGGAUGGGCAUGCGCAGGAUUAGGUAGUUGGUGAAGGUAACGGCUCACCAAGCCCUCGAUCCUUAGGGGAACUGAGAGGUUAAUCCCCCACACUGGUACUGAGACACGGACCAGACUCCUACGGGAGGCAGCAGUGAGGAAUAUUGGUCAAUGGUCGAGAGACUGAACCAGCCAAAUCGCGUGAAGGAAGACGGUAUUAUGUAUUGUAAACUUCUUUUAUUGGGGAAUAAAGUGCAUCACGUGUGAUGUUUUGUAUGUACCUGAUGAAUAAGCAUCGGCUAACUCCGUGCCAGCAGCCGCGGUAAUACGGAGGAUGCGAGCGUUAUCCGGAUUUAUUGGGUUUAAAGGGUGCGUAGGUUGUUUCUUAAGUCAGCGGUGAAAUCUCGGAGCUUAACUCCGAAACUGCCGUUGAAACUGGGGGACUUGAGAUUGAACGAGGUAGGCGGAAUUUAUAGUGUAGCGGUGAAAUGCAUAGAUAUUAUAAAGAACUCCGAUAGCGCAGGCAGCUUACCAGGUCACAUCUGACACUGAGGCACGAAAGCGUGGGUAUCAAACAGGAUUAGAUACCCUGGUAGUCCACGCAGUAAACGAUGAUUACUCGCUGUUUGCGAUAUACAGCAAGCGGCUUAGCGAAAGCGUUAAGUAAUCCACCUGGGGAGUACGCCGGCAACGGUGAAACUCAAAGGAAUUGACGGGGGCCCGCACAAGCGGAGGAACAUGUGGUUUAAUUCGAUGAUACGCGAGGAACCUUACCCGGGCUCGAACGGCAGUGGAAUGUUUGUGAAAGCAGGCAGCCAGCAAUGGUCGCU
rnacentral:rRNA from 1 species